UUCUGAGCUCCUCUUCCGGUUUCCAUUCCCCACCAGUGCAGGCACCUUCAGGGAUACAACCCCUUCGACCAGGGCUGUGCCAGCAACUGGUAUUUAACAAUUUGUGCACCACUGGGACCCAAGUACAUGGCUGAAGCUGUCCAGCUGCAGAGAGUGGUGGGGCCUGACUGGACAUCCAUGCCGAACCUGCACCCUCCAAUGUCCCCCUCUGCUCUCAACCCCCCAGCCCGCCCUGGCCCCCAGCCCCAACCUCUGGAUCCCUCCAAACCAGGGAAGGGUCCCCCAGGGCGUGGUGAGGCUGCAGUUCUCCAGGAGUUCCACACGGGCCCAGUGCUGCCCCUGCUGCUGCAGGAGCCCCCAGGCGAGGUUCGGCCUUCCUCUCGCCCCUGUGCACCCGGAGAUGCCCGCAGCACCAGCACCUGAGCUCACCUCCUGAAUCCACCUCCUGAACCCGCGUCCUGAUUCCGCCUCCUGAACCCGCCUCCUGAACCCGCCUCCUUACCUCCCACUUCCUGAGCCCUCAGUGGAACCCUUUCUGUGCCCUGCCUUUACCCACUCCCCUGGUGGGACUGCCAAGACCCUCAAUGCCCAUUAAAUACCCUUGCCUGCCUCUUA
rnacentral:sRNA from 1 species